GAAAUACUCCCUCCGUUCCAAAAUAGAUGACUCAACUUUGUACUAACUUUGUACUAAAGUUAGUACAAAGUCGAGUCAUCUAUUUUGGAACGGAGGGAGUAUAAC
rnacentral:pre_miRNA from 1 species